UGGCCCAAUCCUCUCAGCAAAACGACGGCGUUGUGCCGUCCGAUAAUGAAGACGGAGUUUCUCUUGGCACGUUAAAAUUGCCAGGGAAUACUGAUCUUCAACGUUUCGAAUCUUUGCUAUUUCAGGUAUGCGAUAAUAGUUUAUUUUUAAACAAAAAAGUCAUCAUACAUAUAAUGAACAUUAAAUGAAAAAAUAACAGUAUUUCAAGAUCACCCAACACUUGGAAAAUUCCACUAACCACAAGGUCUUUGAUGCUAAAUAGUAAAGUAUGCGUACCAGGGAAAUUUCUUCUCCGUAUGUGGCGCCCUCCUAGCGAUCAAAAAACAUCGUUGCGUAUUGAUAAGUAAGCGUGUGAAGUUGGACCGUGUAGAAAUUUGUAGAUUGCUUUUCAACCUUCGUGGA
rnacentral:lncRNA from 1 species